AUACGGAGGGUCCGAGCGUUAUCCGGAAUCAUUGGGUUUAAAGGGUCCGUAGGCGGGAAUCUAAGUCAGUGGUGAAAUCUUGCAGCUCAACUGUAAAAUUGCCAUUGAUACUGGAUUUCUUGAAUUAGUGUGAAGUGGUUAGAAUGUGUAGUGUAGCGGUGAAAUGCAUAGAUAUUACACAGAAUACCCAUUGCGAAGGCAGAUAACUAACACUAUAUUGACGCUAAGGGACGAAAGCGUGGGGAGCGAACAGGAUUAGAAACCCCGGUAGUCC
rnacentral:rRNA from 1 species